UGCGUAGGUGGUGAGGUAAGUCGGAUGUGAAAUCUCCGAGCUCAACUCGGAAACUGCAUUGGAAACUACCUUGCUCGAGGGUUGGAGGGGGGACUGGAAUGCUUGGUGUAGCAGUGAAAUGCGUAGAUAUCAAGCGGAACACCAGUGGCGAAGGCGAGUCCCUGGACAACUCCUGACACUGAUGCACGAAAGCUAGGGGAGCAAACA
rnacentral:rRNA from 1 species